rnacentral:miRNA from 1 species
AAGGUGUGGUCGUCGCCAUUAUA